rnacentral:lncRNA from 1 species
AAGUCUCCCUUUCAGGAGCAAUAGUUAUGAAAGUCAUUGCUUUUAAUUUAUAAAAUCAAGGAGCAUUGAGUGGUAAAAAGAUUUUUUGCUAAUCCAAAUUGAUCACACUCACUUAUUCAACAGCUAUUUACUGAGAACCUGUUUUGUGACACACUGUUCUGGAUACUAAGGCUGUUGUUUGUCCAUAUACACAGUGGGAAAGAGAACAGAUAAGGAAUUAUUCUGCCCCAGGAGGGGUUGGGAUUACCCUGCCUUGUGGGCUUGAGGGUGGGGGUAAAGUUGAGGUGGGGAGUGUGGAAGGAAGAGAUGGAGUCCAGUGGAGCCUCCCAGACCAGGCGUCUUUGGGAAGAAGAGGGAGUCAGUGUGGAGGACACUGUCCAGCUCUGCUCAGGUACCUACAGCCUCCCAUAGACAUGGCAUUGCCCUUGGGGGGGAGUCUUCAUAGUGCAUGGAAUCUGUGCCAAGAACUGGCACAGCCCCUGGCAUCCCGUGGUGUCCUGGACCUCCAGGAAGAGAGGUGUUCCUCCACGCCUCCGGACUUGACCCUGCAUGGCAACGCCUCCUCUUCAAUGGCCCGGGACACUCAAAAGCCAUGCCCUCCUAGAGGACGGGACCCAGGCUGGCCGGAGGGGACAUACUUAGAUGGAAUUGAAGAGAAGCAGUUGAGAAUUUCCGUCUCAGCGCACAGUGGGGAUCACACAUUCAUAUUGGCACUGUCCGCCUGACACCUGUUACACUUCCCUGUGCCAUGUCACUGCCCCCUGCUCAUGAUGCUCCCUACCUUUGGGUCCUAGGUACUGCCGCUAUUUCCAUUAUGGACAGAAAGUUGAAAUUCCAAGUGCGUCGCUCCUUUACCCAAGGCCAUAUGUUACCAAGUGUCAGAGCUGGAAUUCACCCCCAAAUCUGAUUCCAGAGUUCUGAGUCCCUGGCACCACUGCACUGCUUCUCAGAAACGUUCCUGUCAAUGGACUAAUAAGCUGGACUGCAGGGAGAACAUUUGUUGGUGACAGAACCAGGGUCCAAAAAGUUUUGUCUAGCCAGAGUGAUGGUGACUCUAACAAGACGAGUAUGAAUCAGGUCCAGCUACAUAAAAACCCAAUGCCCGAGUCAUGGUUGGGUGGCAGCAGGCCCAGGGCUCCCCCUUGGCAGCUGUGCAGGGUGUGGGGGCUCAAUGGGACAUGGAGCCAAACUGGCCCUAUUUGAUCCUUGGCCACAUUGGAGCCCAGAACAAGAGAAAGAGAAGUCACUUUCACUCUGCAUUCAUCAGUCCAUGCAGAGAAGGCAGAAAACCUGGAGCCUCUUCAGGGAAAGAAAGUGUAGAAAGAACCUGAGCUCAGGCAGGCCUGGGUUCCCACAUCCCUCCACCAUGUACCUGUGUGUGACCUUUGACAAAUUACUGAUCUCCCCAACCCAGUUUUCUUGUCCUGUGAAAUUGGUUUAGGAGUCUACUUUGCCUGGUUGUUGUAGGGGUUAGAGCUAAAUAAGCUGUAGAAGGAUACCUUCUAAAUGGUAUUAUUCAGAGGAAACUAAUCAAAAUGUUGAUAGCUGACUUGUUGAAAAUCAGUCACCAGGAAAAGGAAUUAAGCUUGUUCCAUAUCCAACCAGAACCAAAGAAUGAUUAGAAGUGGCCAGGAAAUAGAUUUUGGUUGGACUUAAGGCAGCGAUUCCUGGCCUGGGCUGCAUCAGGAACAGGGAAGCAGGUAGGCCCAACAGCUGCUUGGCCCAUAUAGGAAUCUGGAGGAUCGAAGGUGAUGUUGGGCCAGAGCACUUCACAGCUCUUUCUCUUGAGGAACUUAACAUAAGCUAGUUUAGAAAGGAAAUUAAUUUAAAAAUCCUUUCACCUUCACAUUCAAGGGAAGAUGUCUGCACAUAAAUCUAUGUCUUCAUCUGUACUUAUCCUCAGAAUAGAUCAAUAGAAGUCCUGGAUCAAAGGACAUCAGCACUUUUAAGACUUGUCCUACAUAUUGCCAAGUCGUUUUCCAGAGAGAUUGCACCCAUUAAAAAUUCUACCAGUAUCAGGCAAGAGCACCCCGUUCCCUGUGUCCUCCUCAUCAUGGAGAGUUAGCUUUCGAGAUCGUUUCUGUGUUGGUGGUAAGAAGGCACCCCAUUGCGGAGAUUAAGUAAGCAUGGUGUCUUGGCUUAAGUUCUGGGGGCUCUGCCCCCUACAGGCUGUGUGACCUAGGGCUGGCUCCUCUGCUUCGGUUUUCUCACCUGAGAGGUUUUAAAAGUUAAAUCGAUGUCUGCAGGUAAAGCCAGGGCAUCAGACUGGACUUGGGACGAUUCUCCUUUGCAGCCAGGGCUCAGAUGCGGUGUUCUAUUUUAACAUUGUCAUUUGCUUGCUAAUUUUGUUUAUAUACACUUGAGGUUCAGAAGUUUAAAUGUUUGUGUAUGUAGCCAUAUUUCUCUUCCUUUUCUUUUAUGACUUCUUCAGUAUCCUUUAUGUUUAGGAAGUUCUCUCCCGUGCAAAUAGUCACAAGCUUCUCCUGGCUUCCUGUGCUGUGAUGGCUUCCCGUCUCACCUGCUUGUGUGAUCUUGGCAGGUUGCUGAACCUUUCUGGGCUUCCGUUUCCCCUAAGGGAGGGAGUUGGACUAAAUCAGACUUUUCCAAAGUCUUCUGAGAUGCCCUGGUGACCUGCGCUCCACUGGACACAGGACCUGCAACUGCAAGUGGCAGCCUCAGUAAAGCUCACAGCAACCCUCUGAGUGAGGUGAGGUCACUCCCUUUCACAGAGGAGCAAGUGGAGGCACAGAAGCUAGUAGGUUUAUAGCCUGAUUUCUUUCCAUUAAACUUUAUGUUCAUUGUUGGUCUUUGAAGAGAUUAUUAAAGGCUAUAUAGUACUCUGUCAUAGACAUGUAACUCCUUUAACCAUUUCCCUUGUAUUUGACAUUUGUUCCUAUGUUAAGACACAAACAGUGCUACGGUGGACAAACUCAUAAAAUUCUGUGCACCUCUAUGCCUAUUUCCUUGAGGUAGAUUCCUAGAAGUGGAGUUACUAGGUCAAAGGGCAUGAACUCAUUUACUGCUGCCUGUGUGCUGCCAAGCAGCUUUCCAGAAGAGAAAGGCUGAGGCCCCGACACUCCCACGAGAGGUAUACAGGAGAUGACCGUGCAGGAGGAUUGGAAACCAGGCUUAGCUCUGUUUUUUCUCUCAUAUGUUCAGAUGAUCUCACAAAGACUGAUCUUAUCCAACCUCAACUUGUUAAAACGUACAGUAGCAAGUAAUCUGGAAUAGUCAAUUCUGUGGGCCUAUUCUGUGGAUCUCUGAACAUCCACAGGUAACUUCCCAUGGAUGCUCCUUGGCCAGUUAGACAAGUCAAGGGGGAGUUAGUCCUGCAGGAAGUCUCAAGCCAGAGACUCUGUGCUGAGAUCUGAGGUGUCAUCUGCCACAUGA